rnacentral:rRNA from 1 species
UACGAAGGGGGCUAGCGUUGCUCGGAAUCAUUGGGCGUAAAGCGCACGUAGGCGGCUUGGCAAGUCGGAUGUGAAAUCCCUCGGCUCAACCAAGGAAGUGCAUCCGAAACUGCUGAGCUUGAGUACUUAAGAGGAUCGCGGAAUUCCCGGUGUAGAGGUGAAAUUCGUAGAUAUCGGGAGGAACACCAGUGGCGAAGGCGGCGAUCUGGGAAGAUACUGACGCUGAGGUGCGAAAGCGUGGGGAGCAAACAGG